rnacentral:rRNA from 1 species
UACGAGUGCCCCGAGCGUUAUCCGGAAUCAUUGGGCGUAAAGGGUGUGUAGGUGGCAGUGUUAGUCUAUUGUUAAAACCUGGGGCUUAACCCCAGAUGUGCGAUAGAUACGGCACAGCUAGAGGAUGGCAGGGAUGUAUGGAACUCAUGGAGUAGGGGUGAAAUCCGUUGAUAUCAUGGGGAACACCAAAAGCGGAGGCAGUACAUUGGGCCACUCCUGACACUGAAACACGAAAGCGUGGGUAGCGAAUGGG